UACGUAGGUGGCAAGCGUUGUCCGGAUUUACUGGGCGUAAAGAGCGCGCAGGCGGUCGUUCAAGUCGCGUGUGAAAGCCCCCGGCUCAACUGGGGAGGGUCACGCGAUACUGAUCGACUCGAAGGCAGGAGAGGGUAGUGGAAUUCCCGGUGUAGUGGUGAAAUGCGUAGAUAUCGGGGAGGAACACCGGUGGCGAAGGCGGCAUCCUGGACCGGUAUUGACGCUGAGGCGCGAAAGCCAGGGGAGCAAACGGG
rnacentral:rRNA from 1 species